rnacentral:lncRNA from 1 species
AAUAAUGGUCGUCGCAACCAUAUUCGGGUUCGGGAGUCGAUUACGCAAGGGGAAGGUAUUAGCACCCCUUACGUCCGUUGUACUCAACGGGAACCUCUUAGUCUGAUUUUGCUAUUUGACUGUUAAUUGACUGUUACUUGUUUGCUUGCUUCGAGUGAUUAGAAUUGAUGGUAGAUAUGGAUGAAGACCUCGGGAAGGGGGAAAUGGGAGGUUUUUUAUUAGUGUGCUCGCGAAGAUACAGCAAUCUCCUGCCUACGUAUCCUUAUGGUGCAAUAAGGAAAUCAGAGCAAUCGUAGUUCGGGCGACUACGAAUAUUUGGGUGUGUUUUAUUUUGAUGAACGACUGUGUUGGUCGGCGUUCUAACGGCUAAACGCUGGCGUUGUCUACUCUCGGGGGAGGCUCUAGCACUGGUUUGUUGUGCGCAUUAGAAAGGAUUUACAGUGUUCUUUUUGAAAGGGUUUUGGUCACGCGGGGGUGACAGGUUGAAUUGAUGUGUUUGGGUUUGAUUGGUUUCGAUCGCUCGGGGGCGAGAAAUUAGGUUGAUUUGUUGGAGAUGUUUUUUGGAGAACGACGAAAGGUUGAGCAAUGUGGUGUACACCAAUCGUCCAAUUCUUUCGAGGAAUAAUAAGGCGUCCGCCUUCUAUUCCUUUUUCAUUCGAAUUAUUUUGAAAGUUGUGUUUGUGGAUGUUGAAUAUGCACGGUAGUGAGGC